UACGUAGGGGGCCAGCGUUGCUCGGAAUUACUGGGCGUAAAGGGUCCGUAGGCGGUGUGGUAAGUCGGGAGUGAAAUCUCUGGGCUUAACUCAGAGGCUGCUUUCGAAACUGCCGUGCUAGAGUGUGAGAGAGGCGAGUGGAAUUGCGGGUGUAGCGGUGAAAUGCGUAGAUAUCCGCAGGAACAUCCGAGGCGAAAGCGGCUCGCUGGAUCACAACUGACGCUGAGGGACGAAAGCUAGGGGAGCAAACAGG
rnacentral:rRNA from 1 species